rnacentral:rRNA from 1 species
AUGGCUAUAUCAAAUUGAAACACCAGUUCCUGUAUGAUCACCAAAGUUAAUCAACAUUGAGCCUGGUCAGUACCUAGAUGAGUGACCGCUUAGGUAUACCAGGUGCCGUAAG